rnacentral:lncRNA from 1 species
AUGGUUCUGGAAACAUUUUCAAAGUUUCUGAAAAGGUACGAGGCCGAGGCCGCCCACUUCCUCCACCAGAACGCCACUGCUGGGCCCCUCCCCGAGGUGCACGUGCUGGCAAACUGCUGCAUCCUCAGGGAAACGUGGCAGGAGCUGAGCUGGGCACACAUUCUGCCGGCACAUCUGGACGCUGUCGUGCAAGACACCAUCCACGACAUCGAGAGCCACAGCCGGGACCACUUCCUGUUUAAGGGCAGAGCCCUGUGCAAGAGUCUGCUCCUGGGUUACUUCGUGAGGAAGGACAAGGAUCUGGUUGGAGCUCUGGAGGCCUUGUGGCAGAGUCUGGAGGGCCGUCCCAAAAUGUACUCCACUCUCACGUAUGAGGACAUCAUGCGAAGUUUGCAUGUGGUGGUCUUUGGGGAGUACAUCCAGGCCCUGGCCACCCACCUCAAGAAGCUGGCGCCCAAGAAGUGGGAGGACAUCUUGGUUCAGGUGAACACUGACACCACGAAGUUGCACAACAUCUUCACGAAGCACAGGGUGAGUGUGGACCUCUUGGGGAAGGCCGGGUGCUGGGGGCCUUCCAGUUCUGUGUCCUGGCCCCCCGUCUGGGCAGGUGUGCUCUCCUCACCCCAGCCACACACAGGCCCACCAGCGCUGGGCUACCUGCUCUCACGGCAAGGCUGUGAGGUGGGGGCAGGGAUGUCUCACGCUCUGACCAGCAGUACAGGCCGGGUGAGGGGCCUGAGGUAG